GGCGGACCAAACUCCGUAGAAUAGGGUGUCCCUGCUCCAUCUCGCCACAAGUUUGGGGGACCUUGGCUUGAAAAACGCUGAAGACCUCUGAUCUAAGAAAUGCCAAAGACUGCAGCACCAACUGAACUGUCAAUCAACCGAGGACCCAUCACAGUUAGCCCUCAUAGGGAUAUAUUUGACUUCCUGCCUGUCCGCGUCAUUCUUUAAUGCAAAGGAUGAGAAAACACCUGCCUGUCCUUGCCUCAAUUGCCUUUGGCUCUGAGAUUCUGGAUCAGCUCAUAACGACCAGGACAUCCUGCCACCACUGCAGCAGCAGAGCAGAUGUUGAAGGACCGUCUUAACUGUUCAUCAUCAGUGGACACUUGCUGGACCACAGAGACACGUGUUCUCCCUGCCAGUGUUGAGGUUUCUUCACAACAGAUAAUAAGGUCUCCCUCCUCUGUGAUUCCUCCACUUCACAGUGAAGACACUCAGGACUGCAGAGAGGGCUGAACACAUAAAAGAAGCUCAACAUCAUGCAGCGUAUUCGGUUGCACUGUACGUAUAUGUUGAUCUGCUGUGCAGCACAGUUCAAGGAUCAGGUGUGUGACUGCAAGAAAGAGUCAUCAGUCAGUCAUCACUGUCCCAGUGACAGCGCCACCUUUAUGCAGCUUCAAGCUCCUCCCUAAACCAGCUAUAAAGGCCUCUUCUCCUCCAUGUUGCUAUAGUAACACUAUCCUGACGUGAUGACUGGAGCCUGCAUAGGUCAAAGGUCAUAAUGUUACAGGUCUUUAAAGCAUACACUACUAACUCAUGAACAGUAUUACUGCAGGACACCUGUCUAUUUUGUUUGUUUCAUCUCUACCGUAUUUGAUCUAACAAUAUUGUUUUCUUUAUGUUUCAUUACAUUUUACAUUCAUUUUUGAUAUAGUUGGUAUUUCUUUAUGUCAUCCAUCCGUUCUCAGUCAGUUUUCUAAAAGAUAUAUGAGGAAAUUAAGGAUGAAAAUGUUUGUUUGAUUGCCUCGUGUACACGAACAAAUUAACCUUGAAGAAAUUACAUAUUUGUAUCACAAUGAGUCAUUAUGGGGUUUCAGCUGGUAGGUAUACUCAAGGUUUUUCACAUGUGUACACCGAUCCUUAGGAUAACCCAAACUCUACUGAGACUGCACAGUGUUAAAUUGUACGACUGUGAAAUCCAUCAAGUGUGUCAUCUUCAGAGGCUAAAACAUGACUUGGUGCAAAGAGCCUUGUCAAAAGAUUUAAUAGGAAAACAAAUCCUACAAAGCUUGUGUCCUAACUGUGAGUCAACAAGUGACUCCAACCCAAUGUUUCAUCAAAGUAAGGAGAACCCAGUGUGUCUGUGAGCCUCAGUAAACUGAGCUUAACGUUGGGAUAGUCUAAAUGACAAUGUUGACAAGACUUAUCUUUCCAGGGCUUGAAGACCUUGAAGUCUUGAACUGAGUAUUAACCUAGGUCUGGAAACAAUGUGAAAAGCCUCUGUUUGUAGGAAAUGAACCAUAUUGUUAACUGUUGAAACUAUAGUAAAUGUAUUCAUGAAUAUAAAAAAAGGGACCAAUGUUGACAAAACUGUGUUAAUAAAUUUCUCACUCUAAGAUUUUAUCUUCCACGAAAUACAUUAUGGUCAAUACAACAGUACUUGUGCACUGUACUUAGCUAUAUUGUUUUAUUAUAUUUCGAUAGAAGAUAAUGAGUCAAAAAAGUAUGUAAAGACGGGAUGUAAAUGCAUCUUUAGAAAUAUAGCACACACCUCAAACUACUAGUAGUGACAAAAUAAUGUUCUGAUCUGUGGUAUACAUCUAUUUAAAAAGUUUUUCUUUUGUGGGAUCUCUGUGCAUAAAAACGGCUUCUGCAGAAAGCGUUUCCUUUUUCUUAAUUAAUAUUUCCAAUUCUCUGUUUUUAAUUCACUUGAGAGCACUUAAAUUAUGAUGAAUCAAUUUAACUGUAACUUAUUUCAGAUUAAUAAGUCAUUCUUACUUGAACAAUUAAAUAUACAAAGAGAAAACCAUUUUUACUUUGCCAGUUUUGAUUUCCACGCGUACAGAGACCAAUAUAUUAGGCUGUUCCGUAUGUUAGUCUUGACAUGCUAAUACUAAUUACUGUUUUAAUUAUUUUUAAAUUGUUGAUUCACAAAAUUGGAUUCUAAAUGUAAACAAAUAAAAUGUUUGUCAUGAGGUCACUGUCUGCUUUACACUCGAUACAACACUGUAACUACUACUGAUUUUUACGACUACACCUGCUGCUGCUACAGUUACUAUUGAUAUACAAAUGCUGCUACUACGACUGCUACUACUGCAGCCCUCGAUACUAAUACUGCUAAUAUUACUCCUGAAUGCUAUUUCUGCAGAUUCUGAUUCUAUAUUUCAGUUCAGUUUCACUUCUUCAAGUACUUCUACAGUUUAACAGUGCAGCUUUCGGCGUCUUUUUUGUUGUAUUUCAGCUCUAUAUCUUUCACACUGCCACUUUUGCCAAUCUUUCAGCUACAGACACCAUUUCAACUUUCAAAUGUUGACACAAGUCUCAACUAUUUUUUUGA